CGGAGUCAGACACAGGUGACGCCCAUUCUGUUUCUGCAGACAUCUGAUUGGCUCACUCAGCGGUGCCUAUGUAUUCAAGGAGGGAAACUUCCGGCGAGGAUCUUUAUAAAGUAAAGGAUUCAGACACAGCAUACACACAAAAACAUGAAUCCUGUGAAGCUUGUGAAAUGGAGCAGCUGGAGUUCAAACUCCACACACAACAUGAAGAGGAAAACAGAAAGAGAAGCUGCUUCUUUGUUGGACCUGUUAUGGGAUUUUGUUCUAAUAGAUUUAUGACUAUAUAAUACUUAACAUAAUAUAAUAUAUAUGUGCAAUACAAAAACGUUGUUAUUUUCGGUAAAAACUUAGUGUCCAGUACUUUUAAUUAGUGGUUCAUGCAAGUGGAGAUAUAUUCUAGUUUUUCGCAAAACUUUGGCGAGAUUUUAUAAAUAUUGAUGAAAAAUAAGACAGCGUUUCAUUUAACUGAUGUUAUGCGACUAAAACGUAACCUUUCGUCUUUUUUGCGUCUGUGUGAAAUUGAGGUGUUUCCAUCAGGUGUGUUUUGCCGCAGUUUGAAGGGUAAUCUAAAAACACCUUUAAAUAUGUUUCAUGUCAUUUCAUGCUGUUUCGUACAUAAACCUCAUCCUCGAGGAUUGUGUCUCUCCUGAUUAAACUACAGAUCAGAAUCCACACAAACACGUGAUAAAAAAAUACUGAUGAACGCUGGGAAAAAAUAGCAUUUACUGGGAAAACAAUUUUUUUUAUUUUAUAUACAUAAAUGUACAUUUUCAGCUCAGAAAACAUUUUUAUAUGUUUUGCUGUCUGGAUUGCAGCAUAACUUUGAGACUAUCUUAAACAAGAAGUAUGUAAGUCUUAAUCUUUUUCUUUAAUGUGAUUUAUAUACCCCUCUCUUGUUCCCUGAAGUAGUUUUUUUCCCUCUCUUCUUGUAAUUUUUUUAUUUAUUUGUUCUACAUUGUAACAGUUUUUUUCUUUGUCUGUAUAAUGUUCUUCAUAAAAAAAAAAAAAACCAUGAACACACCAGCUGUGGGUGUGGCCAUCACCUGAUCACCUGACCACACAGCUUCACUCUGAU
rnacentral:lncRNA from 1 species